GCCACGGUGGUCUAGCGGUUAGAACGCUGGCCUUGUAAUCCUGGGGGCCCGGGGUCAAUUCCCGGUGGUGCUC
rfam:Zootermopsis nevadensis contig5843, whole genome shotgun sequence.